rnacentral:rRNA from 1 species
AACGAACGCUGGCGGCAUGCCUAACACAUGCAAGUCGAACGAGACCUUCGGGUCUAGUGGCGCACGGGUGCGUAACGCGUGGGAACCUGCCCUUAGGUUCGGAAUAACUCCCCGAAAGGGGUGCUAAUACCGGAUAAUGUCUUCGGACCAAAGAUUUAUCGCCUUUGGAUGGGCCCGCGUUGGAUUAGCUAGUCGGUAGGGUAAAAGCCUACCAAGGCGACGAUCCAUAGCUGGUCUGAGAGGAUGAUCAGCCACACUGGGACUGAGACACGGCCCAGACUCCUACGGGAGGAAGCAGUGGGGAAUAUUGAACGCUGGGCGAAAGCCUGAUCCAGCAAUGCCGCGUGAGUGAUGAAGGCCUUAGGGUUGUAAAGCUCUUUUACCCGGGAUGAUAAUGACAGUACCGGGAGAAUAAGCUCCGGCUAACUCCGUG